rnacentral:lncRNA from 1 species
GCGAUAGCGAGUGAUUUCAGGCAUUUCAGGAAGAUCAGAAAAAAACAUUUUUCGGCAGGGUAGCAGAUUUGAUCAUUCUGCAGAGAAAUAAUGUUUGGGAGGUGGAACUUUCGCUGUUGCACGUGUAAAAGUUAACUGCGCUGGCUUCUCACGAGGUUCAUCACGAGAAGAGACGAUGCUGCUUCUCAGAUUUCGGAUUUUAUUCCCGAUGUUACACGUAAGAUGCGUAAGCGAGUACACGAGCACACAUGCACUGAGCGGAACGACAUGUGGAUUUAUCGUCGUCGAUUUAAAGGCCACCGUUGUCACGACGAUCCCGCGAUCUGGCUCGUUUAAGGGCACGCGGACGAACAAUGCGAUCUCUGAACCUUUAAUAGGAUGCGUUCGCUCCUAAUAGGAUGCCGCAUCUCGGCUGACAUUUUAUUUCUGUCGCGACGCCGCCGCGAUGCACAGCCAAACCUACCCAUCGCAUGCUGUGAUUCAGCAACGGUAGCCUUGAUCGAUAUCGAUUCUCUUUAGAUCUCCGACUGGAUCGAAUCGAAAAGGAAAGGGACCAACUUGAGGUGAUGGGUCACGCGAACAUAAAAAUGCAUAAAAACAUAAAAAAGCAAUGGAUGCUUUCUCAGCAAAUGUUAUCAUUGUUUUGCAAAAUUCUUGGAUUCAUUAAUCAUAUUCUUCUUCAAACAUCUUUCUCUGAUAAAGAAGCGAAUGCUCGGACGAAGAAAUUUUUAAUUUUAAUUAAUGAAUUACUGGUAGCAGAGAGUAAUCCAUUAAUUAAUAUACCGUGAAUUAGAUUUUUUCUCAACAAACUGGUUGGGAUUCCAAUAACCAAUAACCAAUACAUAUAUAAAAAGAUUGUAAGUUUAGAUUAUUCAAACGCGAGGAAGAGUGAAGCGAUGCCAUCACUCUCGAAGUUGCAUAACUUUGGCAAAAGGUUCGAUACACCUCCUCCUCUCUCCUUGUGAGAGAAGACUCUCGAGAAGAUGUACAAAAAUAUUGUUGCGCAACCCGAGCACACAUACACACAUACACGAUGUAUGCGCAAAAUUAUAAUCCGAUACACGCAACCGCGAAGUUGAAGCAAUAAAUAAAGGAUCAUUUAUUGCGAAUUUGCUACGCGAAGCGACCGACUAAUACCAACUGAUUCGCGAACGGUGAGAUAUUCUGAUUUAUCCCUCAAUAUUUUUACCAAAUUUCAUGGAUAAAGUUUCUCAGGAAAUCCAUUAUGAAACUAUUAAUGACCACGGUUGGAAACGCGACUUUCUGACUAGAGAGUUUAUGUUAAAAUGCAUAUGUAUACAAAAGUGACAUGUAAAGACUGAAAUUGAUGUUAAUUAAUAUAAUUUAUCUUCCAGAAUUAGGAUUGGCUAAAUGCUUUUUGCAGAUCUCAUGAAGUAUACCAUCAUAUUUCUACCAAUAAUACAUAUGUAUUACCUUAAGUAUCGUUACAAUAAUCUUGUGAAAAUAAUCUUGUAAAAUUAAAAUUGUAAUUUACAAUUAUCAUUCUUAUAUAUUUUUUGUUAUUUUUAUAUAUCAUAAAGCUUGAUAAAUGAAAUAUUGUGCAAGCAAAACACAAAUUUGUCGAUGCAUUAAAUCAUUUUUCUAUUAAUAAUUUUAUUUAAAUUAUUGAAAUGCACUAAUAUAGAAUGUACAAAUAAUUAAGAUGUAGGUGGAUUCUGAUUUGCAUUCAAUUUGUAAUCUUUGUCUUUUAUUGCAUCUAAUUUAUCUCUUAUUUUGUCUCAUUCAUAAAAAGCCAACAAGCACAAAAUUGUCCAAACAUUGAACCCCACGCAAUGAACCGGAACUGAUUUAUUAUCUCCCCUUAUCUAUGGCGUAGUACGUGAUGUGCGAAAAAUUAUCCAAGGUCAAAUGGAUGUUUACGAAAGACCUCGAAAACAUCUUUGAGUGUGUGUAGACACUGACCAUUUCAUAUUCAAUCAUCCAUUUAUUAUGAUUACAUAACUUCUCCUAUUUCUACCCACGAUAUGCUUGUAAAUGUCAAUGUUUUGCACGCUUUUUGUAUGUGAAGACCAGAAUCUAAUCGUAAAUAUGUGCCCAAUAAAUUUCUCUAGUAAUAUUUUAGUUAAUAAAUAAAAUAUCUAAUAAUAGUAAUAUUAAAUAAAAAUUAUUACAAGCUUGACAUAUAGCAAAAAGUCCGAUUAAUAUAAUAUUAAUUUAUAAUAUAUAAUUUCUAUUUAUAUAUUUAAAUUUCAACGAUUAAGAGUCAGACAAUCCGUCAAUCUAAUAGAUUGUUUCAAGAUGAAAUAUACAUUAAUUUAAGGAGACAAGCAAUUAGGCAAAAUAGCUUAAUUAUAAAUUGUAGGCCAAACUACUCUUGUGAGACUAACUUGUGAGGCUCUCGUGCUAACUACUGCGUUGGCUUUCCGUUAUUUUUAACUAUCGUUACAAUGUUCGAGUGCAUGAUGAGGAUGAUCGAGGGGCUCGUGAAUGAAAGGAGUAAUGAAGCACAGCAUACGCUGAAGCACAUGUGCGAUGAGAGUACCGCUGAACUGCGAUUAUAGUUGACAUACUUUCGUGUAUCGAUUCCAAAUAGACAGCGAGCUUCCUGUAAACCAAUAACGUUACGGUAAACCGUGCAACGUUCAUUAAACGAUAAUGAGAAUCAAGAGUUAUAUUAUUAUUAUUUUUGACAAAUUACUACAACCUCAAUAAAUUAAUAAUGUAACGAUUGGCGAUACAUAAUUGGUGAUAAUAAUAUAAAUUUGAUUAUUUAUUUAUAUCUAGUUUUCAUAUUUAAUUAAGUAUGAAAGUAAUAAUCCAAUAUUUCAGUUUGCAACAUCCAACAUGCAACGAACAAAUUUAAUAAUAUGUGCGAAAGAUUAGUGAAUUGUUCACACACAGGUAAUUGCUGAUGAGUAAUCGCUAUCCUUGUCUCUCGUUUAGUCGUGACGAUGUUGCAUAAUAGUGAAUCAUGAUGUAUAAUAGCGAAUGUAUCUUCCUAUAUGAGGUCUUGCCCGAAAAUGCUUUUCGGAUUCUUGGACGGCUUGUGACGACGAUUAGUUUAAAUGAUGGUGCUUUUGCAUCGAAGUUUGACAGCAUUCUUUUAACAUCCGCACAUCUUGCUGCAAAUCAAACAAACCUGGCUCUGGUAAGAAUGCACUGCUAUCCCAUGUUUGCAAUGUCAAUUAACAUAAUCCUGGCUGAUAAUGUAAAGAUUUCGUCACUUGGUAGUCGCCUCCUCGUUGGCGAAAGGAUUCCGGCUUGCAGCUUUGUACGUAUCUGUAGUGACUACGUCAAAUGAUGUUGCAAAGGCAAGAAAAACAGCGGAAUAUUAGGUAUGCGAUCGUGUGUAAUUUUGUAUUAAUUUUUCCUGCUACAACUUUGUUCAAAAAUAUAUCAUUUGGUAAUUAGAUUUAAUCGUUUGCGUAUUUAAUUGAAUUUUUAUUGCUCAGCAGAACAAAACACAUGUUUGUUUUAUUGUAUCAUUUUAAUAUGAUACAAUUGUCAAUUGGAAGACGUUUUCUUUAUAUAAAAGAGUUCUACAUAGUUCAAAUUUUUGAUAUUUUUGACGAAUUGUGAUCUAUUUCAAGAUUCCUUUUCUAAAUCCAAUAUGACGUUGUUCGGUAGAAAGCGACUGAACAACGCGUGAUAUUUACAAGCGAGAGUGGCCGUUAAUUGUUAGUAAGUGAUUGCAACUUUGAUGGAUGGUGCCGAGAUGUAUUUUGAAUUGAUCAGCCGUUUCGUACGCUUAAUAAAUAAUUCGCCUUGCUCAAUCCAGACACCUCGGUCGGAAUGCUGUGAGUCAUUAAUGAAUAACGAUGAACGUCGUAGUAUUUUUAUCAUUGGUUUUAUAGAAUUUACAUUUCAUCUUAAGUUAGUGAUUUAUGAUUUCACAUGUUUUACUAAGGAAACAUGGAAUCCUCAAGUAAUGAGAGGACAAAGAGGUGGGAGUUCAUUGGAUAUGAUCAGCCUACGAGAACAGAUCCGAAAAAAACAAGAUUGUAAAUUUUUAUGAACUUUUAUACAUUUACAGCUGAGAAGUGGAAGCGAAUAAGUUUUGUCGUAAUCUGUAGUACACAGUUAGUUAUAAAUCACAAUUAAAAUUGUCGAAAUGUUUGUGUAAAAAAUUUUUCUCUUAAAAUAAAAUUCUAUUUAUAUAAGUCAGAGUCUGUUAUCUUUUAAAUGUGUUUUAAUCUGAUUAAAUUUAUUCAUAAUUCUAUAAUUUCUCUUGAAAAAUAUUAACGAUUCAGUUGCAAGUAUUUCUUGAGAGCACUGAAUCUCACGUUUGCCAUCUUUCUUCAUUUUUUUGAAUUAUUUAGAUGGUGAUUCUGUUAAUCAAUAUUUGUAAUAUUGACAUCCUUUCGGAUGCAUUCCCAUAGGCCUUUUAUCAAUGCACAUGUUUUACACGUUACUUUUUUUAACAAGACAUUUAAUAUUCAUUUAAUAUCUGUAAGCUCAGCAGAGUCAACAUUUUGCGUGGGAACAGACGUUAAGAGGUUCUCGUGUAUAGGUAUGCGCGCAUUAUAGAUUCCUGUUGUUUGCACUGUACUGCGCAAACUGCGCUCGAUCGGCUCUUCGCGGCACGCGAAAUAUCGGUUACUUCCGGAUUCCCUUUGAGGAUUAACACAAGCUGACAGAGCACAUUAUCAGAGCGGAUAAAAGAACAGAAUAGAAGAAGGUAAAUACUCUUGC